rnacentral:rRNA from 1 species
CGCGUAGGUGGUAGUGCAAAGUCUGGGGUGGAAUCCUAUGGCUUAACCAUAGAAUUGCCUUGGAAACUGUAUUACUUGAGUCAGUGAGGGGAGGGUAGAAUUCCUGGUGUAGCGGUGAAAUGCGUAGAUAUCAGGAGGAAGGCCUGUGGCGAAGGCGGCCCUCUGGCGCUGAACUGACACUGAGGCGCGAAAGCGUGGGGAGCAAACAGGAUUAGAUACCCUGGUAGUCCACGCCCUAAACGGUGGGCACUAGGUGUAGGGCUCGUAAGGGUUCUGUGCCGAAGCGAAAGCAUUAAGUGCCCCGCUGGGGAGUACGGCCGCAAGGUUGAA